AGCCAUGCAAGUUACAUUUAGUUCACUUUGGAUUAAACUUUAUUGGAUAGUGUCACCUGGGGAUCUAAAACAUGGGUUUCAUUCGAAUGUCGAUGUUCCUGAUUUUGUUUCAAGUACCAUCGUAUUAAUUGUUAUGAAAGAAUAAAACCGAUUUCAAGUUGGAUUCAAUUGCGGCAAAACUUUGAGGCACAGAAAGCGAGAUGGGCACUUUAUCGCUGUGAGUCGAGUUGCUUGAAAACUGAAUAUAGUUGACAAUAAAUCGAUUUGGCUGGGACAGGGCAUGGGGCACGUUGACAAUGGUCUCCAUUCACGUAAGCCAGGAAAGUAGAAGGUUAACUCAUUCUUAAAUGUUAUCAAAACAAGAAGAACCGUGUUCGCUCGCGAUGUAAUCAAGUGUGGAUGAAUGAGUGAGUAAGCUCAUUUCGGAGUAUAAUAUAAUUUCAUAAAAUGACGAGAAGAUUACUGACUAUACGGAAAAUAAAAUCAAAAAUAAUUCUUAUGUUGUGACUAGAUUUCGGGACUACUUCAAAUUGGAAAGUAAUGCAUUUGGAAAAAUACCAGUAUCUGAAAGCUACAGACAUGAGUAUUUUUAGUCAAUAAUUUGAUUUUGAACAAAACAUAACGUUCAUAUAUGAUUGCUUUUUAA